GACGAACGCUGGCGGCGUGCUUAACACAUGCAAGUCGUGCGGUAAGGCCCUUUCGGGGGUACACGAGCGGCGAACGGGUGAGUAACACGUGAGCAACCUGCCCUUCACUUUGGGAUAACUGCCGGAAACGGUGGCUAAUACCGGAUAUGACUUCCUCACGCAUGUGGGGUGGUGGAAAGCCUUCGGGUGGUGGGGGAUGGGCUCGCGGUCUAUCAGCUUGUUGGUGGGGUGAUGGCCUACCAAGGCUUCGACGGGUAGCCGGCCUGAGAGGGUGACCGGCCACAAUGGGACUGAGAGACGGCCCAGAAUCCUACGGGAGGCAGCAGUGGGGAAUAUUGGACAAUGGGCGAAAGCCUGAUCCAGAAACGCCGCGUGAGGGAUGACGGCCUUCGGGUUGUAAACCUCUUUCGCCUGCGACGAAGCGAGAGUGACGGUAGCAGGUAAAGAAGCGCCGGCCAACUACGUG
rnacentral:rRNA from 1 species